GAGGGUAUAACUCAGUGGUAGAGCAAAUGUUUAGCAUGCACGAGGUCCUGGGUUCAAUCCCCAGUAGCUCCA
rfam:Camelus ferus unplaced genomic scaffold scaffold1484, whole genome shotgun sequence.